UUUUCAUCUUGUGAAUUAUUAUCUAAGUUAGAAUCUUUAGUUCUAUGUCUAAACAAAGUUGGGAACAAAAAGAUCUAUUGAAAAUGGUAGACAGUAAAUAAUUUAGAUAGACUUCCUUCUUUCAUUUUUAAGCAAAGUUUCAUGUGGCUGUGACUGGCUAUGAACUCUCUAUGCAGCUGAGGAUGAUUUUGAAGCUCCUAAAUUUUGGAAUUGCAGAUGUGUGCUACCAUGUGUAUUUGAGACAUUACUGUGCAUGAAACCUGGGGCUUUGUGCAUUCUAGGCAAGCAUUCUCUCAAUUGAGCUGCAUCCCCAUUCCUUUGAUAAUAUUUCUAGGCAGUACUUUCAGUGCCUUAGUAACUCAAUGUCUAUACUGCAUCUGGAAGAUGGGUACUUCUGUUGUAUCAUUAAGUUUUACAUAUAGUCCACUCCAGUGGCUCGUUGUAAUAUAAUACAUUUUACUAAAACUCAGUGCCUAAAGGAAUAAUAAAAUGCUUUGGGAAAGUGUCUAUCUUUGUAGUUCAGGCUGGCAAUCCUCCUUUCUUGGCCACUAGGAUUGCUGAUGUGCCAACAUGUCUUUUGAAAACAUGCACUCUUGAUCAUGAGACCAGAGGGUGUCUCUGCUGAUUAAGACAGAGUCAAACCAUCAUCGGUCACUUGCUUAUGCACCUGUGGUCAUGAAUGGUGGAUGCGGUGGCAGGUAAUUUAUUUAGCAAUACUUUCAUUUGGAUGUGUUGGUUAAAUUCUACAUGGCUUUGCCUCUUUCUAGAAGACUAACUCGGAUGAAAGGCUUCUUGGUUAAGGACUGGGCACAGGUGACUCAUUAAGCUUGUUUGUGGCAUUGGACCUGACCAGCAUUGAGGCAAGCAGAGAUUCCUAGGCUGAGAGAGAAGAUACAAAUUAUGUUGGGAAAAAUCAGGAAGGAUAUCUAUCCACGAUGUAUUUGUCAGCUUUUGCUGAAAUACUACACCAGAAUGAACAACCAAAAUCUUGAUGACUUCAAACAAUCACUACUUAUGUUGUUAUGGACGUGGCAGCUGGACAUUCUUCGUCAUUCUUUCAGGUACCCUUUGUACACUUACUGUAAGCUGGUUCAUCAGCUUAGGGAUGAUUGUUGCUGA
rnacentral:lncRNA from 1 species